rnacentral:other from 1 species
CGCGCGCUGCGCGGUGCGCCACGCCAUUGUUGUCCCGGGGGCUAUAAAUUCCUCUAGGGAGCUGUCCCUGCCGGGAUCUUGGUCCCGGUAUCACGGCGCCCACCUGCAUUGCAGGCUCCAGGGGUACAAACCGGCGAACGGCCGAGGUGGCCGCGU